UUGACACACAAACACAUUACUAU
rnacentral:misc_RNA from 1 species